AAUGAACCGGCGAGUUACGAUUUGAUGCAAGGUUAAGCAGUAAAUGUGGAGCCGUAGCGAAAGCGAGUCUGAAUAGGGCGUUUAGUAUUUGGUCGUAGACCCGAAACCAGGUGAUCUACCCUUGGUCAGGUUGAAGUUCAGGUAACACUGAAUGGAGGACCGAACCGACUUACGUUGAAAAGUGAGCGGAUGAACUGAGGGUAGCGGAGAAAUUCCAAUCGAACCUGGAGAUAGCUGGUUCUCUCCGAAAUAGCUUUAGGGCUAGCCUCAAGUGAUGAUUAUUGGAGGUAGAGCACUGUUUGGACGAGGGGCCCCUCUCGGGUUACCGAAUUCAGACAAACUCCGAAUGCCAAUUAAUUUAACUUGGGAGUCAGAACAUGGGUGAUAAGGUCCGUGUUCGAAAGGGAAACAGCCCAGACCACCAGCUAAGGUCCCAAAAUAUAUGUUAAGUGGAAAAGGAUGUGGCGUUGCCCAGACAACUAGGAUGUUGGCUUAGAAGCAGCCAUCAUUUAAAGAGUGCGUAAUAGCUCACUAGUCGAGUGACACUGCGCCGAAAAUGUACCGGGGCUAAACAUAUUACCGAAGCUGUGGAUUGUCCUUUGGACAAUGGUAGGAGAGCGUUCUAAGGGCGUUGAAGCAUGAUCGUAAGGACAUGUGGAGCGCUUAGAAGUGAGAAUGCCGGUGUGAGUAGCGAAAGACGGGUGA
rnacentral:rRNA from 1 species